UACGUAGGGGGCAAGCGUUGUCCGGAUUUAUUGGGCGUAAAGAGCGUGUAGGCGGCCAGACAGGUCAGCUGUGAAAACUCGAGGCUCAACCUCGAGACGUCGGUUGAAACCGUCUGGCUAGAGUCCGGAAGAGGAGAGUGGAAUUCCCGGUGUAGCGGUGAAAUGCGCAGAUAUCGGGGAAGAACACCCGUGGCGAAGGCGGCUCUCUGGGACGGUACUGACGCUGAGACGCGAAAGCGUGGGGGAGGCGAACGAGG
rnacentral:rRNA from 1 species